AUCAACUUUCGAUGGUAGGAUAGAGGCCUACCAUGGUGGUAACGGGUAACGGGGUGUUAGGGCACGACACCGGAGAGGGAGCCUGAGAAACGGCUACCACAUCCAAGGAUGGCAGCAGGCGCGCAAAUUACCCAAUCCCGACACGGGGAGGUAGUGACAAUAAAUAACAAUACGGGGUUCUUUCGGAUUUCGUAAUUGGAAUGAGUACAAUUUAAAUCUCUUAACGAGGAACAAUUGGAGGGCAAGUCUGGUGCCAGCAGCCGCGGUAAUUCCAGCUCCAAUAGCGUAUAUUAAAGUUGUUGCAGUUAAAAAGCUCGUAGUUGAAUUUCGGGAUCAAUAUAUCGGUCGUGCCUUCGGUACGAACUGGUAUUAUUGAUUUCUACCUUCUGACGAAUCAUGAUGUCAUUAAUUUGGUGUCAUGGGGAAUCAGGACUGUUACUUUGAAAAAAUUAGAGUGUUUAAAGCAGGCACACGCUUGAAUACAUUAGCAUGGAAUAAUGAAAUAGGACGUUUGAUCUUAUUUUGUUGGUUUUUAGGAUCGACGUAAUGAUUAAUAGGGAUAGUUGGGGGCAUUAGUAUUCAAUUGUCAGAGGUGAAAUUCUUGGAUUUAUUGAAGACUAACUACUGCGAAAGCAUUUGCCAAGGAUGUUUUCAUUAAUCAAGAACGAAAGUUAGGGGAUCGAAGACGAUCAGAUACCGUCGUAGUCUUAACCAUAAACUAUGCCGACUAGGGAUCGGAUGAUGUUAAUUUUUUAAUGACUCAUUCGGCGCCUUACGGGAAACCAAAGUGUUUGGGUUC
rnacentral:rRNA from 1 species